UCGUUUUCAUUUUACCAUAAGUUGGUUUGUCCCAGGGUAUACAUAUGGUCAUUACCAAGGCUUUUAGAAUGGAGUUUCUAAUUUGCUGUGGACAUGACCAUAAAAAAUUUCCCACUAGGUUUUCUAUCUGCUACCUUGUUAGCAAUCAGCCUAUCGGGAACAUUUUAUUGACUUUAUUAGACUGUUGUUUAGAUGUCUGUCCAAUCGAAAUAGAAUGCAAGCCACAUGUGGUUUUCUAAUAGCUGUUUUAUCAGUAGAACUUAACACAGUGGAUGCUUGAGCCAUGCAGAUGUGCUUUGCAUAGUUAAUAUGCAAGUACACAUUGACUCCAUUGUAUGUAGUGAGUACAUCAUAAUUCACUAUGUGAUCAUCUCUAGAAAUGUAAACUUUGUAUUAUUAUUGUCACAUAGGGCUUACAGGACAGUCAUGGAAUAAGCAUCAAUCCUACUUUAAAAGCAUCAAUCCUACUUUAAAAGGGCUAUCUUGAAGAUAAAUUCUGACUCCAACUUUAGAAGAAUCUGACCUUGAUGAAAAGUAGAAGAAAUGAUGACACGUGAAAGCUGCAUUUUAAAGUUAUUUAUAUAAAAAAGAUUUUUUUAAUGUUAUACAGACAAUAAAACUCUGCACUGUUUGUAGAAAGUCAACAUAUAUUUUUGGCUCGGAGUUUAUCCAGUGUUUUCUGUUGAGGAAAUAUAAAUAAAUAAUUAAGCAGUU